GACGAACGCUGGCGGCGUGCUUAACACAUGCAAGUCGAACGAAGUGGCGCACGGGUGAGUAACGCGUAAUCAACCUGCCCUUCAGAGGGGAACAACAGUUGGAAACGACUGCUAAUACCGCAUACUGAAGGAGGGGAUUGCGUCUGAUUAGCUAGGUGGAGGGGUAACGGCCCACCAAGGCGAUGAUCAGUAGCCGGUCUUGAAGGGUGAACGGCCACAUCGGGACUGGGAACCGGCCCAGAACCCUACUGGAGGCAGCAGGUGGGAAUCUUCCGCAAUGGACGAAAGUCUGACGGAGCAACGCCGCGUGAGUUAUGACGGCCUUCGGGUUGUAAAGCUCUGUUAAUCGGGACGCGGUACCGGAAGAGAAAGCCACGGCUAACUACGUGCCAGCAGCCGCGGUAAUAC
rnacentral:rRNA from 1 species